CCUCUAUGUCUGUCUGACCCUAGUCUGGCUCAAUGGAUGUACAUUGUUGAGAUAAAGCCUGACAUCCAGCGUGUCUCAAACCAGAUGU